AUUGAACGCUGGCGGCAGGCCUAACACAUGCAAGUCGAGCGGAUGAAGGGAGCUUGCUCCUGGAUUCAGCGUCGGACGGGUGAGUAAUGCCUAGGAAUCUGCCUGGUAGUGGGGGAUAACGUCCGGAAACGGGCGCUAAUACCGCAUACGUCCUGAGGGAGAAAGUGGGGGAUCUUCGGACCUCACGCUAUCAGAUUAGCCUAGGUCGGAUUAGCUAGUUGGUGGGGUAAAGGCCUACCCAGGCGACGAUCCGUAACUGGUCUGAGAGGAUGAUCAGUCACACUGGAACGGAGAGACGGUCCAGACUCCUACGGGAGGCAGCAGUGGGGAAUAUUGGACAAUGGGCGAAAGCCUGAUCCAGCCAUGCCGCGUGUGUGAAGAAGGUCUUCGGAUUGUAAAGCACUUUAAGUUGGGAGGAAGGGCAGUAAGUUAAUACCGUGCUGUUGUGACGUUACCAACAGAAUAAGCACCGGCUAACUUCGUG
rnacentral:rRNA from 1 species